GCACGAACGUAGAGGUCAGGCUAGGGCUGACGAUGCUGGCUAAGCGGGGGCGCACGUCUGGGAAGUCGUCGUCGUAGUCACCGAUGUCCGUGACCUUCCAGAGAUGGCAUCUCAAUGUGUUACCCAGGCUGGUCUUGAACUCCUGGACUCAAUCCUCCUACCUUGGCCUCCCAAAGUGCUGGGAUUAUAGGUAAUCCACCCGCCUUGGCCUCCCAAAGUGCUGGGAUUACAGGUGUGAGCCACCAUGCCCAGCCAGAAACUGCCACUUUUAAACCAUCAGAUCUCAUUGAGAACUCCCUCACUAUCACGAGAACCGCAUGAGGGAAACCACCCCCAUGAUCUGAUCACCUCCCACCAGGUCCUGCCCUCAACAUGUGGGGAUUACAAUUCAAGAUGAGAUUUGGGUCAGGAAACAGAGCCAAACCAUAUCAAGAGCCUCUGGUAACCACUGUUCUACUCAAUACUUCUAUGAGGUGAACUUCUUUGGAUUCCACAUAUGAUCAAGAUCAUGAGGAAGGAGGAGCAAGUCUUCUUUGUCAUGCUAUUAAGAAAAUACCCAGAGUCACAGCACCAUGAUCUCCUUGUGAAGCAGAACAAGUAAUAUAAAACUGAUCUAAAGAGGCCUCCCCUCUACUCUUAUCUGUCUGGUCGAGUCAUUUGGGUCCAAGUGGGCACCAUUGUGGGAGGGUGGGAGGACUCAUCACUGGGGGCCCAGGCAUCAUUGGCAUGUGGCCUCCUGUGUUAGUUUGUUCUCAUGCUGCAAAUAAAGACAACUUGAGACUGGAUAAUU
rnacentral:lncRNA from 1 species